rnacentral:pre_miRNA from 1 species
AAUAACCUCAUUUUUCGUUUUUCCGUGUUCAACGUUUGACAAUUCGUCUUAUUUAAAAAAUUUGUGCAAAAACCUAAAAAAAUUAGUCAUAUAUAAAAUACUAUUCAUAUUUUAUUAUCUAGUAAUAAUAAAAAUAUUAAUUACAAAAAAAUUCAAAUAAGACGAAUGGUCAAACGUUGAACACGGAAAAACGAAAAAUGAGGUUAUU